AGUUCUCGUUGAUGAUCGGUGCUUGCACCGAGAUUCAACAUGGAACGAGUGGCGGACGGGUGAGUAACACGUGGGUAACCUGCCCUUAAGUGGGGGAUAACAUUUGGAAACAGAUGCUAAUACCGCAUAGAUCCAAGAACCGCAUGGUUCUUGGCUGAAAGAUGGCGUAAGCUAUCGCUUUUGGAUGGACCCGCGGCGUAUUAGCUAGUUGGUGAGGUAAUGGCUCACCAAGGCGAUGAUACGUAGCCGAACUGAGAGGUUGAUCGGCCACAUUGGGACUGAGACACGGCCCAAACUCCUACGGGAGGCAGCAGUAGGGAAUCUUCCACAAUGGACGCAAGUCUGAUGGAGCAACGCCGCGUGAGUGAAGAAGGCUUUCGGGUCGUAAAACUCUGUUGUUGGAGAAGAAUGGUCGGCAGAGUAACUGUUGUCGGCGUGACGGUAUCCAACCAGAAAGCCACGGCUAACUACGUGCCAGCAGCCGCGGUAAUACGUAGGUGGCAAGCGUUAUCCGGAUUUAUUGGGCGUAAAGCGAGCGCAGGCGGUUUUUUAAGUCUGAUGUGAAAGCCCUCGGCUUAACCGAGGAAGCGCAUCGGAAACUGGGAAACUUGAGUGCAGAAGAGGACAGUGGAACUCCAUGUGUAGCGGUGAAAUGCGUAGAUAUAUGGAAGAACACCAGUGGCGAAGGCGGCUGUCUGGUCUGUAACUGACGCUGAGGCUUGAAAGCAUGGGUAGCGAACAGGAUUAGAUACCCUGGUAGUCCAUGCCGUAAACGAUGAAUGCU
rnacentral:rRNA from 1 species